rnacentral:rRNA from 1 species
UGAGGAAUCUUCCACAAUGGGCGAAAGCCUGAUGGAGCAACGCCGCGUGCAGGAUGAAGGCCCUCGGGUCGUAAACUGCUUUUAUAAGUGAAGAAUAUGACGGUAACUUAUGAAUAAGCACCGGCUAACUACGUGCCAGCAGCCGCGGUCAUACGUAGGGUGCAAGCAUUAUCCGGAGUGACUGGGCGUAAAGAGUUGCGUAGGUGGACAAGUAAGCGAAUAGUGAAAUCCGACGGCUCAACCGUACGGACUAUUACUCGAACUGCUUGUCUCGAGAAUGGUAGAGGUAACUGGAAUUUCUAGUGUAGGAGUGAAAUCCGUAGAUAUUAGAAGGAACACCAAUGGCGUAGGCAGGUUACUGGACCAUUUCUGACACUGAGGCACGAAAGCGUGGGGAGCGAAC